AACGUGUUUCCCAACCGACCCACUGUUAUUUUCUGAUGGAGCACUCUAGAAGGUAGGUCUUGGUGGGCUAAUUUCUGGCCUGCCCUAUCCAAGCAUAGAGUUGGAUCAUGUGGCCCAAGCAAAAGCAUGGGUUGUUGGACUCCUAAAGUGGGGCGGACCGCGUGAGGCUGGUUCCACAAAGCAACGAAUUGCUCCCGCUCUAUGCAGUAGAAGGAUAAUGGGUUGGUGUCCUUCAAGUCCAACAAAUGCGUGAUGGGCUGCUCUAAUUAAA
rnacentral:SRP_RNA from 1 species